rnacentral:rRNA from 1 species
GACGAACGCUGGCGGCGUGCUUAACACAUGCAAGUCGAACGGAGUGGCGAACGGGUGAGUAACACGUGGGGGACCUGCCCUGCACUUCGGGAUAAGCCGGGGAAACUGGGUCUAAUACCGGAUAGUGUGGGAUGGGCCCGCGGCCUAUCAGCGUGUUGGUGGGGUAUUGGCUUACCAAGGUGGCGACGGGGAGCCGGCCUGAGAGGGUGGACGGCGACAUGGGGACUGCGACACGGCCCAGACGCGUACGGGAGGCAUCAGUGGGGAAUCUUGCACAAUUGGGGGAAGCGGGAUGCAGCGGUGCUGCGUGGGGGAUGCCGGCCUUCGGGUUGUAAACUCCUUUCUCCAUCGACGCGGUAGAUGGAGAAGAAGCACCGGCUAACUACGUGCCAGCAGCCGCGGUAAUAC